rnacentral:lncRNA from 1 species
AGAAUGUGGCAUCAAUCCCAAUGUCUGGACCAGCUGUCAGCUAGUAUUUGUCAUAAAGUGCCAGGCAGUAAAUAUUUUCCGUGUUGAGUUUCAAGGUCUGGUAUAACUAUUCAACACUGCUGCUGUUUUGUCAAAGUAGCCGCAGACAACCAUCCGUAAAUGAGCAAGUGUGUUGUGUUUACAGAAAUAGGCAGUGGUAUAGAUCAGCUCGCCAGUCAGUUUGCUGAUGCCUUUUCUGAACUAAGAAUGGAGAGGACAUGACUCCUGGUGCUAUAAUUGCUUCAGCUAUAAUCCAAGUACAGAAACUGACCUUGAAUUCCUUACCAGGAUGCUAAAUCAGUCAUAAAGAUGGGCCAAUGCAUGUUAUAUAGAGUCAAUGCCAGAGAAAGAAUAAAGAUAAAUAUGAAAAAUUAACUCACCUAUAACUCAUCUGGAUGAGAGCUGGGGUGGCUGGCCAAAGGUCUGGGAUGCAAUGUGUUAUUUAUCAUGGAGAAAGCCUGUGGUUUGGAUGGGGAAAGUCCCACAUGGGCUCCUGUGUUUCCCAGCUGAUGGUGCUCUUUGAGAAGGAUGUGGACUCUUUAGGAGGAGACUUGCUGAAGGAUAUCUGUAAAUGAAUAAUAUAUUCUAGCUAGCCUAUAUAAAAGACACAAAAUCCUGGUAUUUUAUUUAUAAGCUUAAGUCUCGAUUGGGCAGGAUCUGAGCUGUUCUCACUUACAUCCCAGUCAUACGUCCCUGACUUCUUGAUGUUUGAGUCUCACCUGGGCUGAUUCCAUUCCAGUAGCCUGUCCUCAGGAUCAGCAUAUGCCUACAUGCUCUUCAUGAUCCAUCUUGCCUUGUGCUGGCCUCCUCCUCUCUCCAUCUCCUUUCUCCUCCCCUGUGGUUUUUUUCUGAGACUCUUCACUAGAUCCUCAAGUACCACCUUUCUCUCUCUACUGCCCAGUCACAGGUGCUAGCCUUUUAUUAACCUAACUUUAAAUUGGGGAGCAAGGUUUACACAACAAAGGCCAGUGUAAGUAAGAAUUCUCUCAUCUGGAGGCCAACCAGCUCUUGGGGUUCAGAACUUAGCAUUUGUAUACAUAGUGGCAGACCAAACCCCAACAGAGGUCUGUCAUGGGACAGACUAUGAGGCAGGUUUUGUAGCCUGGCCCCAUUUCCUGCUCUUCUCUCUGUGCAGAUGAAAUAUAGUUGCUUUGCUCCCUAACUCCCAGGCCAGCCUCACGGUCCUGCUGCUAUGCCUGUCCAUGAUGAAGUGUAGUUACAGUGGCCUCUGGAACUGUCAGCCAAAAUAAGUGCUUUCCUCUUCUAAGUUGCUUUUGUUAAGGUUUUACGUCACAGCAAUGGAAAGGUAACUAAUUUGUCAUCAAAGUCCAGUUAUAAAAGGUGACUUCCAUCUUGUCGCCUUCUUUCUUUAACAACGGGAUGACAAUUCUACUCUUCAGAGUUGUGAUCAGAGUUACAGACAAUAUUCAUGUGUGUAUAGUGCAGCAGCUAGCAAUUAAUGACUAUUUUGAUGCCAUUAUUAUUGUCGUAUUUUUAUAUGUAUAUAUAUUAUGUAUAUUACUUAUGUCAUACAUAUAUGUAAAAUAUAGAUAGAAUUACCACUGAGUAGCAGGAGGUGUUAGAUCUGAGUUCCCCUCCACAUCCUAUGUAAAUAUGGAGGAGGUCUUCUAUUCAGCCAGGGUGAAACACUCCCUGCUCAGUGAGGGAAUUAGAGAGAAGUCUUGUACUGUGCACAGCCAGUUUCUCCUUCCAGAAAUCCAAUACCAAGUAUUCAAGUAUUCAAUCACCCCUUUUUUGCUGGAAGGUACUGUAGGCAUUCUUGACUCCUGGAAGGAACAACAUAGAGAAAGAAAGACAGAGUCUUCUUUUAACUUCCCUAACCUUUAGCCCUCUCACCUUUCAUUUAGCAUCAUAGCAGGAGUACAGUUGCUCCUCAGAAUUGCCAGGAUUCCAGCAGGAUAAUCUUACUGCCAGGUCCAUUAAGCCAUUCUCAGCAUCAACUCAAUGCCCCUUUGGACAUUCAUAAAAAAUUUAAAAAACCUAUCAUUUUUACUUCCUUGUAGCAGAAGUUGAAAGAAAUUAAGGCUUUCUUAUUUUCUUAUGUCUUUCCUUUGAUUAGUGGAUCCUACUUAGUGGAUCCCAUUUAUUUAUCUAUCUAAAUCUAUCAUCUAUCUAUCUAUCUAUCUAUCUAUCAUCUAUCUAUCUAUCUAUCUAUCUAUCUAUCUAUCUAUCUAUCUAUCAUCUAUUCAUUUGUUCUAUUAUUUACUUCUUUUUCUGGAUGAAAGAGUUUGCUUUGGCUGUAGGUACAUCGGGAUGAGCUACAUCAUGGUGAGGAGGCAUGGCAGCAAGUGGCAGACAUGGUGACAGAAACAGAAAGCUGAGAGCUCUCAGAACAAACUGAUGUGGAGAGGAGACUCUAAACACCCAAAGCCAAAUGUUAUGACAUACUUCCUCCAGCAAGGCUGGGCACCAAAUGGGGGACAAGUGUUCAAAACUUUUGGCCUAAUGAAGACGUUCUCAUGCAAACCACUACAAAUAUCCAGACUAUUACUCAAAAACUUACUUUCCAGAAAGAGUAACAAUGUAAGAAAUUACUUUAAAGCAAACUAUUAUUCAUAUUUGUUAUUUUCUUUCUUUCACUGAAAACAAUUUAUCUUCUUACAUGAUAUAUUUUUAUUACACUCCUCCCUCCUUCUACUCCUCCCAGUUCUUUACUUCCUCUCCCACCUGAGCCACUCCCAUUUUGUAUCACAUUGGAAAAUAAUCAGGCUUCUAAGGAUAAUAAUAAUAAAAUAAAAAGAUAAGAUAAAACAAAAACGAACAUAUCAGAAUAGGACAAAACAGG